GCCUUCGUGGUGUAACGGUAGCACGUUCAGCUCGUAUUUGAGACAUCCAGAUUCGAGUCCCGGCGAGGCCU
rnacentral:tRNA from 1 species